AUGCCAUUAAUUAAUAGAAGUUAUUUUUAGCGAUUCGGAGUGAUGCCCAAAUCCUCACUGCUAAUAUGAGAUGAAUUUUUGAGUGGGUAAAGGUUGCCCCUAAGGUGACCCACCUACUUUGCAGGAUGCCUGGGAGUUGUGAUCUGCCCA
ensembl:snRNA U12 U12 minor spliceosomal RNA